rnacentral:rRNA from 1 species
AUUGAAUGCUGGCGGCAGGCCUAACACAUGCCAGUCGAGCGGAUGAAGGGAGCUUGCUCCUGGAUUCAGCGGCGGACGGGUGAGUAAUGCCUAGGAAUCUGCCUGGUAGUGGGGGAUAACGUCCGGAAACGGGCGCUAAUACCGCAUACGUCCUGAGGGAGAAAGUGGGGGAUCUUCGGACCUCACGCUAUCAGAUGAGCCUAGGUCGGAUUAGCUAGUUGGUGGGGUAAAGGCCUACCAAGGCGACGAUCCGUAACUGGUCUGAGAGGAUGAUCAGUCACACUGGAACUGAGACACGGUCCAGACUCCUACGGGAGGCAGCAGUGGGGAAUAUUGGACAAUGGGCGAAAGCCUGAUCCAGCCAUGCCGCGUGUGUGAAGAAGGUCUUCGGAUUGUAAAGCACUUUAAGUUGGGAGGAAGGGCAGUAAGUUAAUACCUUGCUGUUUUGACGUUACCAACAGAAUAAGCACCGGCUAACUUCGUG